rnacentral:rRNA from 1 species
UUACCAAACCCAAAACAUAUACCUGGUAAAAGUGAUUAUAAUUUUCGGUUGGGGCGACCCUGGAGAAAAAUUAAUCCUCCAAGCUGAAUAGAUAAAAAAUCUAAUAUUAGAGUGACAACUCAAAUAAUCAAAACCUUGACAAAAUGACCCAGAACAUAUCUGAUCAACAACCAAGUUACCCUGGGGAUAACAGCGC